rnacentral:rRNA from 1 species
CCCUUAGAUGUCCUGGGCCGCACGCGCGUUACACUGAUGCAUUCAACGAGCUUAUAACCUUGGCCGAGAGGCCUGGGCAAUCUUGUUAACGUACAUCGUGAUAGGGAUAGAUUAUUGAAAUUAUUAAUCUUGAACGAGGAAUUCCUAGUAAACGCAGAUCAUCAAUCUGCAUUGAUUACGUCCCUGCCCUUUGUACACACCGCCCGUCGCACCUACCGAUUGGAUGGUCCGGUGAGGCCUCGGGAUUGUGGUUCUUGCCGCUUUAUUGUGGCGUGACCGCGAGAACUUGUCUAAACCUUAUCAUCUAGAGGAAGGUGAAGUCGUAACA